UACCAGACUCCUACGGGAGGCAGCAGUGGGGGAUAUUGCACAAUGGGGGGAACCCUGAUGCAGCGACGCCGCGUGGGUGAAGGAGUGCUUCGGCAUGUAAAGCCCUAUCGGCAGGGAGGAAGCAAGACGGUACCUGACUAAGAAGCCCCGGCUAACUACGUGCCAGCAGCCGCGGUAAUACGUAGGGGGCGAGCGUUAUCCGGAUUUAUUGGGUUUAAAGGGUGCGUAGGCGGAAUAUCAAGUCAGCGGUAAAAAUUCGGGGCUCAACCCCGUCGUGCCGUUGAAACUGAUGUUCUUGAGUGGGCGAGAAGUAUGCGGAAUGCGUGGUGUAGCGGUGAAAUGCAUAGAUAUCACGCAGAACUCCGAUUGCGAAGGCAGCAUACCGGCGCCCAACUGACGCUGAAGCACGAAAGCGUGGGUAUCGAACAGGAUUAGAUACCCUAGUA
rnacentral:rRNA from 1 species